AGUGAACGCUGGCGGUAGGCCUAACACAUGCAAGUCGAACGGCAGCACAGUAAGAGCUUGCUCUUACGUGUGGCGCGUGGCGGACGGGUGAGGAAUACAUCGGAAUCUACUUUUUCGUGGGGGCUAACGUAGGGAAACUUACGCUAAUACCGCAUACGUCCUACGGGUGAAAGCAGGGGAUCUUCGGACCUUGCGCGAUUGAAUGAGCCGAUGUCGGAUUAGCUGGUUGGCGGGGUAAAGGCCCACCAAGGCUACGAUCGGUAGCUGGUCUGAGAGGAUGAUCAGACACACUGGAAGAGAGACACGGCCGAGACACCGACGGUGGGCAGCGGUGGGGAAUAUUGGACGAGGGGGGAAAGCCUGAUCCAGCCAUACCGCGUGGGUGAUGAAGGCCUUCGGGUUGUAAAGCGCUGUUGUUGGGAGAGAAGAACAGCAGGUUAAUACGCCGCUGUUCUGACGGUACCCAAAGAAUAAGCACCGGCUAACUUCGUG
rnacentral:rRNA from 1 species